UGCCCGGGCCCCACGGGCGCCAGCUGCUGGCGGGGACCUCGGGCGCCCUCCCCCCACCUCCCGGCACCGGCACCCACCUCGCUGCAGCGGCUUCAUCUCCCCGUUCUCCUCGCGGGCAGCCCCGCCGGCCUCGCCCGCCCCUCCGAGGCCGUGCCUCCUCCUUUCCUUCUCUCGCUUUUCCUUGGGUCUGCGCGGCUUGGCGUUGGCCGAGGAGGCGGCGGCCGGCAGCAGGAGAUGGUGAGGUUGAGCGUGCAGCAGCGUAGGAGGAACCAGCAGUUUGCGCGGCACGGGCUGAGACGAGGAAGCGGAGGCUGAGGAGGGGACAGCAGUGCCAGAGGAGAAAGAGAAAUUGCUCCGAGAGGAGGAUGGGGUAGGGACAGCAGACAGAGCGGCGAAGCUCCAAGAACCAGAGCUGCCAUAGCUCUGAGGCGAAGGUGUCGCGGGCGACUGCAACAGCCUGCUGUUCCCGCCGCUGCUUCCUUCUCCGUUCAGCCUCCUCGGCGUUUUCUUUUCCUCAGUCCGGAUCUUCUUGGCGGACAGAGGACCCGAUGGGUCCCGAGGGGGGAGUUGCAGCUUGCCAAAGGGUUCUUUCUCCGAAACGGCGGUAGCGGCGGGGGCGCCGUGCACUGUGCUCGGCGGUUCCGCCAUUUUGCGCUCCUGUUGUAUUUACUCUCCUUCGCUCCCGGGCGCGGGGCAGGGGCGGGCACUCCGCGAGAGGCGGGAAAGGGGCGGAGCGGCCGGGCUCUCCAUUCGGCGAGCCACCCUGAGGGAUCUCUCUAAGAACCAAUCAAAGGAGCGAGUCUCGAGCCGCAGUGGGGAGUGGGGGGGGAUCGCCUUGCGUUCCCUUUUUGGAGUUCAUCCGACCGCGGGGCGCGGCUAAUGGCCCAGCGAGCAGUGAAGGGAGGGUCUUCCUGCCAGAACUCGGGUGCCCCGCGAGCGUCUGAGAACCCCAAUUCCAGAUCCCAAAAUCUGUCCCGGCCAGGUCGCGGUCGUUUCUGCCUCGACGACUUUGUCGUGUACCACUUUCCCUUCUUUUUUCCCUGAAGUACCUUUGGCCCCUCCUCUGCCUGUUCCCGCUCAGAAGCCGAAUUUCUGAGCCAACUCAACUCUGAGGAGAAAAAUUUGCCUGAAAUUAAAUCCUUGCGUCUAUCAGGCAAUAAUCGAUUGAUGGCAGGAGCUAAAAAGUCACUUGUCUUGAGAAGUAGUGCAGUUUUGCUAAAAUCGUCAUCUCUAAUGCUCUGAGGGAGGUAACUUCCUGAAGACCCAGAACUUUCUUGCGGAUUGCUUACUACCAAGCUUGAAGAAUUUUCUUUUGGAAGAGACAUUUUGGUUUUUGUAGACAUUGGACUUCAUGUACAGUUAAAUUUUCAAGAUAAUUUUGGAGACUAACAUGGAGUUUUUUUCCUUUCAUUUUUGCCAAGAACUAAGGAGGCAUGAUGGAAGGAGCAAUUGAUUCUCCCAGAGGUCAAGAGAGUAAUAUAUUGAGAAUCAGGAAGGCUUUAUGGAGAAAGUACUACUGGUGGACUUGGAAAGUGGGUAUCUGAGGAUUUGCCUUCAGAUGAAUCAGGCAUAGGUGGAGUAUUUUCAGGUCCAUGCAAUGACCAUGUUACACGUCCUUUCUCAUCAAGAGGCAAGCGGUCUGGCCUUGGAGGUGUGUCUGAAUUCUUCUGUAAUUCUUCCGGUAAAAUAACUGGAGCUUUAUUCGACUGUGUUGCACUGCAGUCCACACAAGAAUUCUGGGAAAUAUCAUCAACUUUUAGAUCCCUUGAACUCAAUUCCUGUGACUUAGAGAUUUUAUCGGUAAUACAAGGUGAAGCCGAAGCUGAUUUAAUUUUAAUUGCAUGUCCCCUAUUCAAGAGUGUGUUCCCAUCAAAGCUUUUUGGUCCCUCUUGGAGAGGGACCUUCUUAAUCUCAAAACUUAAAUUGCGCUCCAAUUUUUUAUCUAUCUGUUCAACAGCUGAUUCGUUUUUUGCUGUAAGUUCUGUUGAUUUAUUAUAGUUUCUGUUGAGGUCUGUUGAAUGUUGUUCUGAUGAAACCAUGUGCAACACUGGCUUUGGAUGAUAUCUGUCAUUGUCCUGCCACACAGUAGUGACUGUUGGAAAAGCUGAAGGGGGAGAAGGUGUCAAGAUUGGUGGAACUGGGUGAGGUUCCGGAGGCUGCAGUAUCUCCUCCUUAGCAUCUCCUUCUACAAGGCAACUGAAAAACAUUAAGAAAAGGGUACUGUGAGAAUGUUCAUCCUUUGGAGUUCCUGUUGUGGCUCAGUGGAAAUGAAUCCAAAUAGGAACCAUGAGGUUGAGGGUUCGAUCCCUGGCCUCGCUCAGUGGGUUAAGGAUCUGGCAUUGCCGUGAGCUGUGGUGUAGGUUGCAGACGCAGCUUGGAUCCUGCAUUGCUGUGGUUAUGGCAUAUGCUGGCAGCUACAGCUCCGAUUGGCCCCCUAGCCUGGGAACCUCCAUAUGCCACAGGUGUGGCCCUAAAGAGCAAAAACAAACAAACAAACAUCCUUAAAAAAAAAAUAAGUUCAUAAGUAACAGUUAUGUAGCUGAGCCUCUUAUAUAUUACAAGUCAGUAAAGUCUGUGGUUAUGAAUAAAAAAUUAAAAUUUGCCAAACUGGGAGUUCCCGUCGUGGCGCAGUGGUUAACGAAUCCGACUAGGAACCAUGAGGUUGCGGGUUCGAUCCCUGCCCUUGUUCAGUGGGUUAAUGAUCCGGCGUUGCCAUGAGCUGUGGUGUAGGUUGCAGAUGUGGCUCAGAUCCCACAUUGCUGUGGCUCUGGGGUAGGCUGGCAGCUACAGCUCCGAUUGGACCCCUAGCCUGGGAACCUCCAUAUGCUGCGGGAGCGGCCCAAGAAAAGGCAAAAAGACGAAAAGACAAAAAAAAAAAAUUUGCCAAACUAAGAAAAUUUAAUGUUUAAAAAGGUAGUAAUUUCAUUGUUUACACUAAUUUAAAAUGUCAAAUAAUACAAGGAUUCUUACUGAAAAAAACAGCAAUUCCCUCCCACAGCCUUCCAGUUACCCUGAGACAUCAAAUUUCAACUUUUUAAAAAGAGCUGCUUCUAAGAUUUACCUCCAUAUUUCAAAAUGCAUAAAUUAUUGUUACUUGAUCUUUCCAUUUCACACAUACUGUAGCAACUUCUUACUAUAUAAAUGUCUUCUCCAUCUUCCCAAUACUGUUACUAUGGAUAGGUUAAUUUUUUUUUUUUUUUAAUCACUAUUUUAGGGCUGCACCAGUGGCAAAUGGAGGCUCCCAGGCUAGGGCUUGAAUUGGAGCUAUAGCUGCUGGCCACAGCCACAGCCAGAGCAACAUGGGAUCUGAGCUGUGUUGGUGACCUACACCACAGCUCACAACAACUCCAGAUCCUUAACCCACUGAACAAGGCCAGCUGGCCACAGCCACAGUCAGAGCAACGUGGGAUCCGAGCUGUGUUGGUGACCUACACCAGAGUUCACAACAACUCCAGAUCCUUAACCCACUGAACGAGGCCAGGCAUCAAAUCUGCAUUGUCAUGGAUCCUAGUGGGAUUUGUUAACUUCUGAGCCACAGAGGGAACUCCCAUUUAUUUAUUUAUUUAUUUAUUUAUUUAUUUAUUUAUUUAUUUUUGGUCUUUUUGCCAUUUCUUGGGCUGCUCCCACAACAUAUGGAGGUUCCCAGGCUAGGGGUCUAAUCGGAGCUGCAGCUGCCAGCCUACGCCAGAGCCACAGCAACGCGGGAUCCGAACCGUGUCUACAACCUACACCACAGCUCACGGCAACGCCGGAUUGUUAACCCACUGAGCAAGGGCAGGGACCGAACCUGUAACCUCAUGGUUCCUAGUCGGAUUUGUUAACCACUGUGCCACAACAGGAACUCCCCUUUUAUUUUUUUUAAGGGCUGUACCUGCAGCAUAAGGAAGUUCCCAGGUUAAGGGUCAAAUAAAAGGUGCAGCUGCCAGCCUACAACAUAGCCACAACACCACCAGAUCUGAGCUGCAUCUGUGACCUAUGCCACAGCUCACAGCAACAUCAGAUCCUUAACCCACUGAGCGAGGCCAGGGGUCAAACCUGCAUCCUCAUGGAUACUAGUUGGGUUCUUAACCCACUGAUCCACAACAACAUCUCCUAUUUUUUCUUAUGUAACUCUUGUUUUUCCUUAAUAAUUGCCUUUGGUUUCCAAUGUAUCAUCAGUAGUUCAGCCCUUAUUCAAACUCUAUAUCUCCUCUUAAUGGAUCAACCAUACCAGGUAAUUAUUAAUACCACAGAAUCCUCUUAGAAACCUGAGCCACCCACUCCAAUGUGGACCACUGCUCCCAAGGCCACAACAGAGUUGACAUUCUCUCCUGUGUCAGACUCUCCUGUUUCCCAGGUCCCAUAUUCCUUUUUCCAGGUACACAUGCUUGCCUUAGUGGGUUAUAUAUCCUCCAGUUGCUUCUUAAGAACUAUACAUAGGAAACUGGGAGUUCCCUGGUGGCCUAGUGGUUAAGGAUUUGUCAUUGUCACUGCUAUGGCUCAGGUUUGAUCUCAAAAUUUUGCAUGCUACAGGCACCGCCAAAAAAAACAAAAAACAUAGAAACAAAUUUCUUGAGGCCUAUUUAAUUAUAUUUUCAAGGAUACUGACUUUUGGAAAAGGUACAUAAUUAUAGAUUAGAAAUAAUUUUCCUUCAGAAUUUUAUAAUCAUGAUUCUUGUUCCUUAGAAUGUGAGCUGUUUUCUCCUCUCGGAGCUUUUAGGUUCUUUUGCUUACUUUUAGGUUCUUUUUUGUUCUACAAUCUCAUCAUUUAACAUUUCCUAAUCCAUUAUAAACUGAGAACUUUCUAAAUAGAAAUUGUUACUAAAUGUCUGAUAAUUCCCAAUUCUGUUUAUUUUAAAAGAAUGGAAUAUUUUAAAUGUCUGGAAGAUGUGUAUGUCAAUGUAAGGGAGAGAGCUUGUGGCAUAGUCUCACUGCUUGGUGACUACAACCAUCAAUAAUAGAUGUCCUCUCUUGGGACUGGUUAGCUUUUCAAGACAGGGAUUCUGUGUCCCACCAGAAGUGGCUACCAGUAUAACCGAAACAAGGGGUGAUAGCAAUGGAGCUGGAGGAUCCCACACAUUCCUGCUUUUAGUAAGACACCAACAACCCCAUCAUCAGUUGGACUUGAUAUCCUAAAUCCAGAGACUUUCAGGUUCAGCCACUCCAGAGUAAUCCUUCCUACUGUGUACCCAGGUGUAGCAGAAGAUGUCAUCUGUCUGUUCAAUUUGAAGGAAGGAAUCUGGGUUUCUAAACACUUUUAUAGAGACAUUCAAGUACUUGUUUUCAGUCCCAUCCUAUACAUCAGCCUUGAGGGGAACCUCCAAUUUCUGCAUCUUUCUGAAGGUUCUUUGGAGAGGAUCGUCAUCUUCUUAUUAGCUUCCCCUGCCUACAGGAAAGCAAGUUUUAGCUUCCUCUGUACUGUUAAGUCCCUUUUCAUUGAUCAGUAUGCUCUCCACUUUCCAAAAUUUUGUCAAAAUCUCAUUUGCUGCCAUCUUCUCUUUAAUUUCCUGGGUUUUAAUCUUUUUAUUUUGCUGUUUUGUUUUUUAAUCAUAUAUUUUUAUAUUCCUCUACUGUAAUUUUAGGAAAUUUAAAGAGGGACCAAAGUUAUGUGUUUAAACUGCCUAUUUAACCAACAAUCUUUUAAAUGUUUUCAGAAGCAGUAAUCUGUAUAUGAUGUUGAUACAUACAUAGUAAAUAAAUUCUUGGCUACUCACAUUUUAAAAAUAGCUUUAUUGAGGUAUAGUUGAUAUAUAAAAACCUGCACAAACAAUAAUGACUUAAUAAAUGACCCUUUUCUUUUUCCGUAUUUAAUAUAUGUUCACUACUUUAAUACCAAGUUUUCUUUGAUAUUUUUGCCUCUUUAUUCUUACAAAUAAACUUUAUAUUAUCAAGUUCAGAGCAGACUCCUUUGGAAAUUUUAAUGUGAACUGCAUCAAAUUUCUAAAGAACUGGUAUUUUCUUUUCUUUUUUGGCGACACCUGUGGUAUGUGGAAGUUCCCAGGCCAGGGAUCGAACCCAAGCCACAAUGGUGACAAUGCUGAUUUUUUUAACUGCUAACCACCAGGGAAUUCCCAAGAACUAAUAUUUUAAAUACAAUUGAAAAAAGCUAAACUACAUUUAACUUUUCCAACCAAGAACAAUUAUUUUUCACUAAUCCAAAUAAAAACAUUUCUCCUUAAGGUUAUUUCCAGGUAUUUUAUAUUUUGAAAGGGCUAUCUUUUAAAAUCUUUUCUCCUAUUUGGCUGGUCUACAGGACCAUUUUCUACUUUUAUUCAAGCACUUUGCUCCUCUUUCUUAUAAAUUAAACAUUUUAAGGCAAUAUAUUUGGGUUUAAUGUAAUUAUUUUUAAAUCAACAAAAGGAAAAUGUUUCAAAAAAGAACCAAAGAUUUUGUUUUUAAACAGAAAAAAAAAACAGUUAAGUAGAAUAAUAGCUGCUUUAUAUGAUAUUGAUUUCUCCCAAUGCCCAAUUUUCUACUGCCAUUUUCCCAGAGUCCUUUGUCACUAGAAUCCCAUCACAUCCUGUGCUUGAUCAGAGUUCCCAAAUGUCUCAAACUCUUGUUUUGGCUCCAGAAAUGCCCACCUAUCCAGGCUAUUCUAAGAGUCACAGAUGAAAGUCUAGUUCAUUCUCUAAAGCAACCCUUAACAGAAGUAGAAAAAUAUUCAUGUAUUUCUGCCAGAUAGAAAACCCUCUCCUUUUAUGGCCUCUGUAACACCACUGUUUCCUGGUUUAUGUUUAUGCCUGCAUUGUUCUUUUCAUUCAUGCCCAAAUCUUUUAUAUCAGCUAUACACAGAAUCCUCAAUAAAUCUUUACCUUCAACCUAGAUAUCCAAACAUCUAAAACAGAACCACUUUCUGUCUUCCUCCCAAUCUUAUUCCAAUUUAAAUUUGUUGGAAUUGAGAGGCAUUGGAAGCAUCAAGUAUAUUGUCACUGUCUCUGAAAUAUUUAGAAAUUAAGAAAAAUUUACUAAGGCAUCCUUUCGUAUCUUUGUCGUAAUCUGUUUAUAGAAAUAAUUAACAAACUAUACUUCCAGAAUCCUGGUGUUAGUGAAAAAAAACCAAGAAUUGUAUUAGUUUAAUAACAUAUAUACUGAAAACAGAAAAUGAAAUCUCCUAUUCAAAAUAUACAAUAUGAUUUCUAUAAGUAUUUAUAAGUCAGAAUCAUGUGACUAGUUAAACCAAAUAUAGCAAACAUAUGCCUUCCUCUCCAGAUCCUUCUACAGUAACUCAAUAAAUAUACUCUUAUUUGCUCACGGCAGUCAUAUUGGAAAAGUAUACUGUUUUUAUGACUCUAAUGUCUUACAAUUUUUAUUUUCAGUUAACCAGGUAUUCUUUGUGGAACACAGUGAAAUUCUGCCAUUUCACUCCAUUGCAUGAAUAAUAAAAAUGACCUAAGAUGUAAUAUAAAAACAUGUAAAGAUUUGAGCACAAAAUAAAAUUUUGGCAUAAGAUGAAUGAA